UGCAUGUCUAGCCAUGCGAGUCUUUGCAGUAAUGCAAGGCAUACGGCUCAGUAACACGUAGUCAACUUACCCUAUGGACGAGGAUAAUCUCGGGAAACUGAGCAUAAUACUCGAUAGAUCAUAAUGCCUGGAAUGGUUUAUGGUUGAAAUGAUUCGUCGCCAUAGGAUGGGACUGCGGCCUAUCAGCUUGUUGGUGAGGUAAUGGCCCACCAAGGCGAUUACAGGUACGGGCUCUGAGAGGAGAGGCCCGGAGAUGGGUACUGAGACAAGGACCCAGGCCCUAUGGGGCGCAGCAGGCGAGAAAACUUUGCAAUGUGCGAAAGCACGACAAGGUUAAUCCGAGUGAUUUCUGCUAAAGAAAUCUUUUGCAAGUCAUAAAACCACUAGUGAAUAAGGGGUGGGCAAGUUCUGGUGUCAGCCGCCGCGGUAAAACCAGCACCUCAAGUGGUCAGGAGGAUUAUUGGGCCUAAAGCAUCCGUAGCCGGCUCUGUAAGUUUUCGGUUAAAUCCAUGUGCUCAACGCAUGGGCUGCCGAAAAUACUGCAUAGCUAGGGAGUGGGAGAGGUAGACGGUACUCGGUAGGAAGGGGUAAAAUCCUUUGAUCUAUCGAUGACCACCUGUGGCGAAAGCGGUCUACCAGAGCACGUUCGACGGUGAGGGAUGAAAGCUGGGGGAGCAAACCCGGGAUUAGAAUACCUAGUAGUUCCAAGCCUGUAAACGGAUGCCAGACUCGAAUGAAUGCAAUUUGGCAUAUAGCCAGGUGCCAGGUGUUUCGCGCCAG
rnacentral:rRNA from 1 species